rnacentral:misc_RNA from 1 species
GAUGAAGAACGUAGCGAAAUGCGAUAAGUAAUGUGAAUUGCAGAAUUCAGUGAAUCAUCGAAUCUUUGAACGCACCUUGCGCCCUUUGGCUAUUCCGAAGGGCAUGCCUGUUUGAGUAUCAUGAACACCUCAACUCUCAUGGUUUGCCAUGAUGAGCUUGGACUCUGGGGGUCUUGCCGGCCUAUGGGUCGGCUCCUCUCAAAUUAAUCAGCUUGCCAGUGUUUGGUGGCAUCACAGGUGUGAUAACUAUCUACGCUUGUGGUUUUCCAUCAGGUAACCUUCAGUGAUGGAGGUUCGCUGGGGCUCAUAAAUGUCUCUCCUCAGUGAGGACAGCUUUUUUGAACGUUUGAUCUCAAAUCAGGUAGGACUACCCGCUGAACUUAAGCAUAUCAAUAAGCGGAGGA